GACACGGUCCAAACUCCUACGGGAGGCAGCAGUGAGGAAUAUUGGUCAAUGGUCGGCAGACUGAACCAGCCAAGUCGCGUGAGGGAAGACGGCCCUACGGGUUGUAAACCUCUUUUGUCGGAGAGUAAAGUACGCUACGUGUAGCGUAUUGCAAGUAUCCGAAGAAAAAGCAUCGGCUAACUCCGUGCCAGCAGCCGCGGUAAUACGGAGGAUGCAAGCGUUAUCCGGAUUUAUUGGGUUUAAAGGGUGCGUAGGCGGCACGCCAAGUCAGCGGUGAAAUUUCCGGGCUCAACCCGGACUGUGCCGUUGAAACUGGCGAGCUAGAGUGCACAAGAGGCAGGCGGAAUGCGUGGUGUAGCGGUGAAAUGCAUAGAUAUCACGCAGAACCCCGAUUGCGAAGGCAGCCUGCUAGGGUGCGACAGACGCUGAGGCACGAAAGCGUGGGUAUCGAACAGGAUUAGAUACCCUGGUAGUCCACGCAGUAAACGAUGAAUACUAACUGUUUGCGAUACAAUGUAAGCGGUACAGCGAAAGCGUUAAGUAUUCCACCUGGGGAGUACGCCGGCAACGGUGAAACUCAAAGGAAUUGACGGGGGCCCGCACAAGCGGAGGAACAUGUGGUUUAAUUCGAUGAUACGCGAGGAACCUUACCCGGGCUCAAACGCAGGGGGAAUAUAUAUGAAAGUAUAUAGCUAGCAAUAGUCACCUGCGAGGUGCUGCAUGGUUGUCGUCAGCUCGUGCCGUGAGGUGUCGGCUUAAGUGCCAUAACGAGCGCAACCCCUAUCGACAGUUACUAACGGGUGAAGCCGAGGACUCUGUCGAGACUGCCGGCGCAAGCCGCGAGGAAGGUGGGGAUGACGUCAAAUCAGCACGGCCCUUACGUCCGGGGCGACACACGUGUUACAAUGGCAGGUACAGAAGGCAGCCAGUCAGCAAUGACGCGCGAAUCCCGAAAACCUGUCUCAGUUCGGAUUGGAGUCUGCAACCCGACUCCAUGAAGCUGGAUUCGCUAGUAAUCGCGCAUCAGCCAUGGCGCGGUGAAUACGUUCCCGGGCCUUGUACACACCGCCCGUCAAGCCAUGGAAGCCGGGAGUACCUGAAGAUCGUGACCGCGAGGAACGGGCUAGGGUAAUACCGGUAACUGGGGCUAAGUCGUAACAAGGUAGCCGUACCGGAAGGUGCGGCUG
rnacentral:rRNA from 1 species